GAUGAACGCUGGCGGCGUGCCUAAUACAUGCAAGUCGAGCGAACAGACGAGGAGCUUGCUCCUCUGACGUUAGCGGCGGACGGGUGAGUAACACGUGGAUAACCUACCUAUAAGACUGGGAUAACUUCGGGAAACCGGAGCUAAUACCGGAUAAUAUAUUGAACCGCAUGGUUCAAUAGUGAAAGACGGUUUUGCUGUCACUUAUAGAUGGAUCCGCGCCGCAUUAGCUAGUUGGUAGGGUAACGGCUUACCAAGGCGACGAUGCGUAGCCGACCUGAGAGGGUGAUCGGCCACACUGGAACUGAGACACGGUCCAGACUCCUACGGGAGGCAGCAGUAGGGAAUCUUCCGCAAUGGGCGAAAGCAUGACGGAGCAACGCCGCGUGAGUGAUGAAGGUCUUCGGAUCGUAAAACUCUGUUAUUAGGGAAGAACAAAUGUGUAAGUAACUAUGCACGUCUUGACGGUACCUAAUCAGAAAGCCACGGCUAACUACGUG
rnacentral:rRNA from 1 species